rnacentral:tRNA from 1 species
GGGGCCAUAGCUCAGCGGUUAGAGCGCCCGACUCAUAAUCGGUGCGGUCGCAGGUUCGAAUCCUGCUGGCCCCA